ACCCCUUUCAAUAUGUUUCACUCACACAGAGCAUAUCCAGCCUAUAUUUACACAUUUCAUUUGCAAGUUUGUUUGUUCCCUUUUACUUGUCUAUUCAUGUUCCACACACUCAAUCUCCAUUCUUAUAUCUAUUUCCAUUCCCAUUGUCCUUUAUCCAGUCCAAUAGUUUUUUCUUUGACUUUUAAAAAUCAAAUAAGAAAUUUCACUUUUUGGUGAUCUGCCAAAUGAUGAUAUAGUUUGAUGGAGAAGCUGUCCUCUUGAGGGUCCCAGGCAAGCCUAGAUACCACUUUGUCAGGUUUCUAACUUCUGGCCAUUAUGACAAAGUUGAACUACCAACAGCUUGAAACUGGAGAACUGGAGCAUGCAAUCCUUUUGCCACAUAAAGGCAUGGGCCCAAAGGGAGUAAGUCUAACUAUAUUCUCAAAAAAUAGUUUUUAUAUCUCAAUUAAUUUUCAUUAAAUGUUUAAAAUUUUUUAGAAUUUAUUAAGUUCUUUUGUUCUUGCUAAUAGAGAGUGACUUUUUUUUAAUUUAAUUUUUUCACAACGUUACAUUCUUUAUAUGACAUUGGCGGAAAC
rnacentral:lncRNA from 1 species